CAGCAGCCGCGGGAAUACAGAGGGUGCGAGCGUUAAUCGGAUUUACUGGGCGUAAAGCGUGCGUAGGCGGCUUCUUAAGUCGGAUGUGAAAUCCCUGAGCUUAACUUAGGAAUUGCAUUCGAUACUGGGAAGCUAGAGUAUGGGAGAGGAUGGUAGAAUUCCAGGUGUAGCGGUGAAAUGCGUAGAGAUCUGGAGGAAUACUGAUGGCGAAGGCAGCCAUCUGGCCUAAUACUGACGCUGAGGUACGAAAGCAUGGGGAGCAAACAGGAUUAGAUACCCCCGUAGUCCCUGUCUCUUAUAC
rnacentral:rRNA from 1 species